rnacentral:rRNA from 1 species
AACCUCCUACGGGGGGCAGCAGUGAGGAAUAUUGGUCAAUGGGCGGGAGCCUGAACCAGCCAAGUCGCGUGAGGGAAGACGGUCCUAUGGAUUGUAAGCCUCUUUUGUCGGGGAGCAAAGAGAUCACGUGUGGUCAAAAGCGAGAGUACCCGAAGAAAAAGCAUCGGCUAACUCCGUGCCAGCAGCCGCGGUAAUACGGAGGAUGCGAGCGUUAUCCGGAUUUAUUGGGUUUCAAGGGUGCGUAGGCGGGACGGUAAGUCAGCGGUAAACAUGCGGAGCUCAACUCCGUC